rnacentral:rRNA from 1 species
UACGAAGGGGGCUAGCGUUGUUCGGAAUUACUGGGCGUAAAGCGUAUGCAGGCGGAUCGUUAAGUCGGGGGUAAAAUCCCGAGGCUCAACCUCGGAACUGCCUUCGAUACUGGCGAUCUUCGAGUCCGGGAGAGGUGAGUGGAACUCCGAGUGUAGAGGUGAAAUUCGUAGAUAUUCGGAAGAACACCAGUGGCGAAGGCGGCUCACUGGCCCGGUACUGACGCUGAAAUACGAAAGCGUGGGGAGCAAACAGG